UGAUAACCUACUAUACUGCAGUGUACUGAAAUUCUUUGAAACGACGCAAUUAUUGAGUGAUGUUGUUCAAAAUCUUCAUAAUUUUAUUAACAACUUUAUUUUUCGUUUCAUUUUUGCUUUCUUCAAAUAAUAUGACUAUUGAUGUUAAAAAUAUGAAUAGACGCAUUUUAGUUGCUCCUUGUCAACCAGGAUAUGUUCGUAAAAACAAAGUUUGUAGGCCAUUAUGGUCUUCUUGAAUCAUUUAAAAUGUGAACUCUUUCUACAAUUGUUAAGAAACUUUAAAAGAUUGCGCAUAGUCAACGAUAACCUUUAUUCUGUAUUCAUUUAUUUCUUACAUUUCUUAAUUUAUAAGUUUAGAAACAUCAGUCUGUGAAAUGUCGCUUAAAGCUACUUUAAUAAAAGUUUCUCUACUUCUUGCAGUGCUGCGCUUUGUGCAUUGUUUACCCCUAAAUCCCGUACUCGAAGGCGUUCUAAAUGACGGUGUAAUUAGUUCAUCUAUCGGUUGUAGACCUGAUUAUGUCUACGUGCGUGGACUUUGCAAAGAACGAGCGAAAAAUGUUCAAGGCCAGGCAGAUAAAAAGCACACGGUCAGUGUAAUUAGUAAAAGUGUUAAUUAGCUACAUUAUUUCCUUAAAAAAAUGUGUUUUCAAAUAUUGCAUUUGCAAAUUUGCAAAAUUUGUGUCAUUGCCAGUGGUAUUAUUACUAAAAUUGUACAAUUUUA